rnacentral:rRNA from 1 species
UUUACAAUGCAAGUCGAACGGAAACGAAAAUAGCUUGCUAUUUGGCGUCGAGUGGCAAACGGGUGAGUAACGCGUAGGAAUCUACCCAGUAGAGGGGGAUAGCCCGAAGAAAUUCGGAUUAAUACCGCAUAAUCUCUACGGAGUAAAGAAGGCCUCUUUACAAUGCUUUUACUAUUGGAUGAGCCUGCGUUAGAUUAGCUAGUUGGUAGGGUAAAAGCCUACCAAGGCGACGAUCUAUAGCUGGUUUUACGAGAAUGAUCAGCCACACUGGAACUGAGACACGGUCCAGACUCCUACGGGAGGCAGCAGUGAAGAAUAUUGGACAAUGGGGGAAACCCUGAUCCAGCAAUGUUGCGUGUGUGAAGAAGGUCCGAGGAUUGUAAAGCACUUUCAGUAAGCAAGAAAAAUGUAAAUCUAAUAGAUUUGCAUGUUGACCACUUAUAGAAGAAGCACCGGCUAACUCCGUGCCAGCAGCCGCGGUAAUACGGAGGGUGCGAGCGUUAAUCGGAAUUACUGGGCGUAAAGGGUAAGUAGGCGGUUUAUAAAGUCACAUGUGAAAGCCCUAAGCUUAACCU